GAUGAACGCUGGCGGCGUGCCUAAUACAUGCAAGUCGAGCGAACAGACGAGUACUUUGCUCCUCUGACGUUAGCGGCGCACGGGUGAGUAACAUGUGGAUAACCCCUCUAUAAGACUGGGACAAGUCCGGAACACCGGUGCUAAUACCGGCUAAUAUAUUGAACCACAUGGUUCCAUACUGGAAGACGGCUUUGCUGUUACUUAUAGACUGAUUGGCGCCGGAUUAGCUAGUUGGUAAGGUAACGGCUUACCAAGGCAACGAUCAGUAGCCGACCUGAGAGGGUGAUCAGCCACACUGGAACUGAGACACGGUCCAGACUCCUACGGGAGGCAGCAGUGGGGAAUCUUGGGCAAUGGGCGAAAGCCUGACGGAGCAACGCCGCGUGAGUGAAGAAGGUCUUCGGGUUGUAAAGCUCUGUUAUUCGGAAAGAAAAAAUGUGUAAGUAUCUAGGCACGGCUUGACGGUACCGGAUCAGAAAGCCCCGGCUAACUACGUG
rnacentral:rRNA from 1 species